UACGAAGGGAGCUAGCGUUGUUCGGAAUCACUGGGCGUAAAGGGCGCGUAGGCGGCUUUAUAAGUCGGGGGUGAAAGCCUGUGGCUCAACCACAGAAUUGCCUUCGAUACUGUAUGGCUUGAGACCGGAAGAGGUAAGUGGAACUGCGAGUGUAGAGGUGAAAUUCGUAGAUAUUCGCAAGAACACCAGUGGCGAAGGCGGCUUACUGGUCCGGUUCUGACGCUGAGGCGCGAAAGCGUGGGGAGCAAACAGG
rnacentral:rRNA from 1 species